rnacentral:rRNA from 1 species
UACGAAGGUCCCGAGCGUUAUCCGGAUUUAUUGGGUUUAAAGGGUGCGUAGGCGGGUUAUUAAGUCAGUGGUGAAAGCCUACAGCUUAACUGUAGAAUUGCCAUUGAUACUGAUGAUCUUGAGUAUGAUUGAGGUGGGCGGAAUGUGUCAUGUAGCGGUGAAAUGCUUAGAUAUGACACAGAACACCGAUUGCGAAGGCAGCUCACUAAGUCAUAACUGACGCUGA